UCGUCUGCAGGCUGUCUCCAGCGAUCGGGGGGCAGAUAAGCCUGGAAAGGGGCUCUUGGGAGGUUCCCAUUGUUCUUGGAGUGGGCUCAAAACUCCCUAGCCUGGCAUUGCUGGUUCUGGGAGCACCUGCGUCACCACUGCUCCUAACAGUCAAGUAGCACUAGGUUUCCGUGGUUUACACCUUCACAUUAGCCUCAUCUUUGGUCCCCAGUGUGGUCCCAUUGUCUCCACUUAAUUAGAAUAACCUGAAUGCAGCAGGAGUUUGAUCCAGUCACUCUCCUGUUAAAAUCCUUGGGUGAUCCCCCAUGUUUUCAAGACGGUGCAGUCUCAGCCUAAUACUCCCAAGCUGUUCAUCAGGCCCUUGCCCAGGGCUCCAGGCUCAGCUCUCCAUCCCUCCUCCACUCCCUGCUCCACCCAGCCUGAAGACCUGAAGCUCUCUGUACUUGUGCCUGCUUUUUGGACCUCUACAGACUGUACCUUCUCCACUCACCAACUAACUCCUAGUCAUGCUUUAAAACUCACCCUUCAGGAACAGGUCCCACGCUGACCCCUCUCAAACUUGUUUUGCUGGUCUCAGAAUUAGGUGUCUGUUCGGCCCCCUGGAGUGGGAGCGUUCUGAGGAGCAGUAUCGUGGGGAUUAAGAGCACACACUCUGGAGCCCUACCACCUGGUUCACAUCUCAGCUCUGCUGCUACCUGACUGUAUGAUAGUGGGCAAGUUACUUAGCCUCUCCAUGCUUCAGUUUCUUCAUCUAUAAACUGGGGAUGACAAUGGUACCUACUUUUUAGGGUUGUUGUGAGGAUUGAUUUACUAGUUUAUAUGUAAAGUGAUUAAUGCCUGGUACAUAGUGACUGCUGUAUAAAUGUUGGCGAUCCAUAUACCCUUUAUCUCAGUGUCCUCAGCACCAGCCUACUGCCACAUAGUAGGCUCUCAUUAACUGUUCCUUAAUGGAAUGCAGUCUCUUCUGAAUUUCACAUUAGCCCCAUGAUAUUAGCAGGGCCCCUGAUACAUCUCCUACCUUAUAGGUAAGAAGACGGGCUCCAGAGGGGUUUAGCGAGGCCACCCCAGCCCCACAGCCACUUCAUUUCUGGUCUGUGCCCUCCCGUGGGCCCUUUUGCAGAGGACACAGGGCAUCUCCCCUUACCUGCCACGUCUCCCUGGAGUCGCCGGGCCUGGGCACGGUUGUUGUAGGCUGAAGCCCUCUCAGGCAGCAGGCAGAUGGCUUGGCCAAACCUCUCCAGGGCUGUGCUGAGGUCCCCAGCCUCUGCUGCCAUCACCCCCUGCAGCUCCAGGGCCUUGGACUGUUCCAGCUGUGCUUGAGGGAAAACUUCAUCUGGGCCAGGGAAGGAGCCAGGAGGGGCCAGGUGUGCAAUCGGUAGCAAGAAGAAAGAGCCACCUCAGGCUUUGGAAUUCUGAGAUCUGAGACAGAGCUGACUGGGAAUGGGUCACAGCAGGGGUCAGCUGCAGCGUUUGAGGUAGGGGGAGAUGAGGUCACUAAAGCUGGGAGCUAGCAUUGCCUGAGUUCCAAGGGACCUGGAAAGGGGCUUUGGUUGGUUCCCCAUUGCCAAGAGAAUGAAGCCCAAACUCCUCAAUCUGUUAAAGCACUUGCUCCAGGUCACACAGGCCAUACAUUGCAGAGCUUGGAUUUGAACCCAGGUCAUUCUGGCUCCUGUCUGCAUUUUACUCUACUACACUGCCUCUUAUGCAAAGGCCACCAUGACAUUCCCAGAUCAUGAACAUCACUUCUUAUGUAUCCCUCAGUGUUUCGGCCUGAGUUAGUAAGGUGUAGGCUUUAAUUCUCAGAAACAAAAGAUAUCAAAAACUUCUUCAUUAGGGACUAAUGGAAAAGCCAGUGAACACACUCACUGCAGAAGAGUUAGCUUGGAGCUUGGCUUGUGACAGUGUUUAACGGAUACUAGUGCUUGCUUUAUUGGAACCACUCAACUGAGCAACCAUGCCCUGCCUUAUUUCAGUCUUCCGUUCUGGUGGUAGUAUUCUCUGUUAUGACAAAAAUAUGAGAGUUUAACAUCACCUGGCAGUUAAGUUUGGAUCAUACAAUCAAUUAAGUGGUAAGUUCAGAGGCCUAAGAGCUGAUGGAUUCAGAGACAAACCCCGGCUUAUUCCUCUUGGCAGAACGUCUCUUACCAAACCCCCAUCAGUGCACUAAGGAGCAGCCAACCUCUCUGAUUCCAAUCUCAAUCAUAAUCAUGGAACAAGGGGCCUUAUAAGACCACUACCUCUGCCACCUCGGGAGGCCAGCAGGCCAGCCUAUAUGCAGAGCUAUACUUCAGAUCAAAUGCCCACCUUCUUUUUGUUCUUCCUUUUCUGCUUCCUCUCCGAGGUCCAGUCCAACAAUGUCUCCAAAUGGGGUGUCAGGGUUGAAGAUGGCCUGCAGCACUGCCCGAUCAUUUGGAGUCCCCAUGGUGCCCAACUCCAAAAUCCCAAAAGGUCCUGAACAUACAUCACUGAUGAAAAAGGAAGAAAAUACAGUCGAGAGCCAGUGUGGAGCGGACCUGAAGGUGGGCGACAGGGAAUGAUUUAGUGAUGCCACCUUAAAGUCGACUGUGGAAGGUACUUUGUGACCAGGUCACAGGCCAUGCCCCUCCCCCUUUUCUCCACCCUCUCCAACCAAAGCCAAAAGGAAGCUUAACCAUGUGCAGCAAUAAACUUGACAUGUUUAUUAAUUAAACUAUCACUUAAAUAAAAAAAAGUGCAUAGAAAAUAAACAUGUUUAAAAACUCCUUUUUUUUACAACUAUGUACACUUUUUACUUUUACAUUCAGUCUUUCGUAGAGAGCUUUCAGCAUUAUUAUUUUUUGAACUAUUAAAGUAUUUUCCUUCAUCCCUGUCACAGGGAGUUAACACUGAUGGACUUUAGACACAUUUUCUUUUUUUUUUUUUUUUCUCUUUUUCUCUAACCAGAAGCUUGGAAGAACACAAGGAAAAAAAAACAGAUCUGUUAUACAUGAUAAAGUUGUCAAAAAAUGUCUUAUUUCUAGAAAAGAAGCUUGUCAUCUGUUGAGCUCUUGAAACAAUUAUUCAACUACCUGUAUUUACUAAAGAGACUGUUAAAAGUUCAAUAAAAGAAACACCACAAUUCUAUUUUCUUGGUUGAAAGACAGAACUAGAGUACCUCGGAACAAGAUACCAGGAAAGCACAGAACACAAUUUUCCCCUAAAUGCAGGUGGUAACCCCAACAUUCAUAACCAAAAAUAGAGAAACAAGGAGGACAGGUACUGACUGGCAACAUUCAUGGGCAGAAAAAAAUCCAGGUGACACCAUGUCUGCAUUUUUCUCUGAUCCGAGGAAUGGACUAUUCUACCAUUCCUUUAUGGUUAGAGGUUCCCCCCAUUUCGGGAAUCAGAGGAAAGUGAGCCUGACAUCUUCCUGCCGCUACUAGCAACUGUAACACAAUCCUUAUCUAUAGUGUUAAGAGAAUUAAAAGCCAUGGACUGAACUAGGCUUUGUUACAUGGUGCAUUACUAUAUUAGUUCCUAUAUAUAUCAUAUUUAUAUUUAUUUGAAAACCAAAACAAACAGAAAGUUGCAAGUUUCCAGAGUGUGUGACUUGACUAGCAUUCAUGAUUCGGCACAGAACCAUCUGCUCAAUAACCUUGUAUUGCUUUAAAAUGAAGGAAAUGAAACAUAAAAUUACACCCAGCCCUUUGCAAUGACCCGCUUUUCCUUAAAAACAAAAACAACUUGAUUUCUAUUAAAAAAAAAAAAAAAA